rnacentral:rRNA from 1 species
UACGUAGGCAGCAAGCGUUGUUCGGAAUUACUGGGCGUAAAGGGUGCGUAGGCGGUUCGUUAAGUCUGUCGUGAAAUCCCCGGGCUCAACCUGGGAAUGGCGAUGGAUACUGGCGAGCUAGAGUGUGUCAGAGGAUGGUGGAAUUCCCGGUGUAGCGGUGAAAUGCGUAGAGAUCGGGAGGAACAUCAGUGGCGAAGGCGGCCAUCUGGGACAACACUGACGCUGAAGCACGAAAGCGUGGGGAGCAAACAGG